UACGGAGGGUGCGAGCGCUGUUCGGAAUUAUUGGGCGUAAAGGGCGCGUAGGCGGGGCCACAAGUCACCUGUGAAAACUCUGGGCUCAACCCAGAGCCUGCAGGCGAAACUGUGGUGCUGGAGUAUGGGAGAGGUGCGUGGAAUUCCCGGUGUAGCGGUGAAAUGCGUAGAUAUCGAGAGGAACACCUGUGGCGAAAGCGGCGCACUGGACCAUAACUGACGCUGAGGCGCGAAAGCUAGGGGAGCAAACAGG
rnacentral:rRNA from 1 species